rfam:Hordeum vulgare subsp. vulgare, WGS project CAJW01000000 data, contig: morex_contig_2092167
AUAAUACUACCUCCGUCCCAAAAUUCUUGUCUUAGUUUUAUCUAGAAAUGGAUGUAUCUAAAUACUAAUACAUGAUUAGAUACAUUCAUAUUUAGACAAACCAAAGACAAGAAUUUUGGGAUGGCGGGAGUAUAAA